ensembl:lncRNA
ACCGCUCCAAGCCAGUACAGCAGGCCUUCUGUCCCUGCGCCCCGCCCCAGCUCACCUGGCCGGGGCAUCACAGACUGACCGGCACGUGGGUGUCCAGUCAGCGGCAGGGCGGGUGCUGCGCCCCAGGGUAGGUUCUGUGACAGGCAGGGGCCGUGCACGGGGUCGUGUGCUUCGCGGUGUCCAUCCCGGCAUUUAAUGCUCCUCGCCACCCCACGCCCACGUGAAAAUGCCAUAGCAAGGGUGAGACGGUACGUAAGUCCACAAAGCCAACCGGGCAGCGUGUCUUGGGGGCUGUAGUGGGGCACAUGGAGUGGUGUACCCUGGCAGGCUGUCCACGUCCCGAUCUCCGGCCCCUGUGACGCAGACCUUGUUUGGAAACAGAGUCUUUGCGGAUAGAACCCACGCCGCAGGCACCUUGACACAGACUUCCGGCUGCUGGAACCACGAGAGCGUCCCUUUCUGCCGUUCCCGAACCGUCAGUUUCUGAUGAUUCGCUGCAACGUCUGGAGGAAACUGCUAUGAGUGAGCCGCUCAGCCGUGUCCAGCUCUUUGUGGCCCCGUGGACUGCAGCCCACCAGGCUCCUCUGUCCAUGGGAUUCUCCAGGUACCUCAGGGAGACUGAGUCAUGGGUUCCUGCUCUGGAGGUGAUCGGGAUGCCUGACCUGGCAGCAUUCUGGAGGGCCAGGAUCCUCACGGCCACCUCCCCCGCCCCUCCCCUGUUCAGCGUCACCAGCUGCACAGCUCCUGCAGCCCAUGAGUGACAGCGCUCAUAAGGCCCCUUCAAGCCUAAGGGGAAUG